AGGCCUUGCGACGCGUCAGGCUCCUCGAAAGAGGAUUAAAAGGGAACGAGGUUCAAGGCCUCGGCUGCCCCCGCAACUGUUAGCGGCGAGUUCUAGCGCCAUACGCCACUGGGGCCCUCGGGCUCUGGGAAGGCGGCGCCAAGAGCAUUGACCCGCGAGCCAGGAGACCUGCCCGGCGCGGUCGUUCAUC
rnacentral:ncRNA from 2 species